GGGCCCGCACAAGCGGAGGAGCAUGUGGUUUAAUUCGAUGAUACGCGAGGAACCUUACCUGGGCUUAAAUGGGAAAAGACAGCCGCCGAAAGGUGGUCUUCCGCAAGGACUUUUUUCAAGGUGCUGCAUGGCUGUCGUCAGCUCGUGCCGUGAGGUGUUGGGUUAAGUCCCGUAACGAGCGCAACCCCUAUCUUUAGUUGCCAUCAGGUAAUGCUGGGAACUCUAAAGAAACUGCCUACGCAAGUAGUGAGGAAGGUGGGGAUGACGUCAAGUCAGCACGGCCCUUACGUCCAGGGCUACACACGUGCUACAAUGGCAAGUACAAAGGGUUGCUACCUGGUGACAGGAUGCUAAUCUCUAAAGCUUGUCUCAGUUCGGAUCGAAGUCUGCAACUCGACUUCGUGAAGUUGGAUUCGCUAGUAAUCGUAUAUCAGCAAUGAUACGGUGAAUACGUUCCCGGGCCUU
rnacentral:rRNA from 1 species